AUUGAACGCUGGCGGCAUGCCUUACACAUGCAAGUCGAACGGUAACAGGUCUUCGGAUGCUGACGAGUGGCGAACGGGUGAGUAAUACAUCGGAACGUGCCUAGUAGUGGGGGAUAACUACUCGAAAGAGUGGCUAAUACCGCAUGAGAUCUACGGAUGAAAGCAGGGGAUCGCAAGACCUUGUGCUACUAGAGCGGCCGGUGGCAGAUUAGGUAGUUGGUGGGAUAAAAGCUUACCAAGCCGACGAUCUGUAGCUGGUCUGAGAGGACGAUCAGCCACACUGGGACGGAGACACGGCCCAGACUCCUACGGGAGGCAGCAGUGGGGAAUUUUGGACAAUGGGCGCAAGCCUGAUUCAGCAAUGCCGCGUGCAGGAUGAAGGCCUUCGGGUUGUAAACUGCUUUUGUACGGAACGAAAAGCCCUGGGUUAAUACCCUGGGGUCAUGACGGUACCGUAAGAAUAAGCACCGGCUAACUACGUGCCAGCAGCCGCCGUAA
rnacentral:rRNA from 1 species